AAAAUGCUAAUAAAAUUCUUAUUGAUUGAGGUGAACUUCAAUUAAAGAGUCAACCAAAACAAUAUAAAGAAGGAAAAAAAUGGAGUAGGAGGUCCUUAUCAAUCAAACGCUUGAGUCAAGUGGAUAAACGCAAAUUAUAGAAAUAAAAGGGAAAAACAAAGAGCGACCUAACGUAGAUACCAAAAGUCAUAAACCAAACUUGGAAGGUGUAAACCACAACAUCACGUUCAAAAAGAACUCUCUGUAACCUCUAAAAGUCACCAAGAAAAUGGAUGCAAAAGAACGACAUUGUAUGUGAAACGAUGUUGCAUCUGUACCAUAUAUAGAUAGAUAGAGACGACUUCUUUCUAUGGACA
rnacentral:lncRNA from 1 species